UACGUAGGGUGCGAGCGUUAAUCGGAAUUACUGGGCGUAAAGCGUGCGCAGGCGGUUGUGUAAGUCAGUUGUGAAAUCCCCGGGCUCAACCUGGGAAUUGCAUCUGUGACUGCACAGCUAGAGUACGGUAGAGGGGGAUGGAAUUCCGCGUGUAGCAGUGAAAUGCGUAGAUAUGCGGAGGAACACCGAUGGCGAAGGCAAUCCCCUGGACCUGUACUGACGCUCAUGCACGAAAGCGUGGGGAGCAAACAGG
rnacentral:rRNA from 1 species